GGCAACGAUACGUAGCCGACCUGAGAGGGUGAUCGGCCACACUGGAACUGAGACACGGUCCAGACUCCUACGGGAGGCAGCAGUAGGGAAUCUUCCGCAAUGGGCGAAAGCCUGACGGAGCAACGCCGCGUGAGUGAUGAAGGUCUUCGGAUCGUAAAACUCUGUUAUCAGGGAAGAACAAAUGUGUAAGUAACUGUGCACAUCUUGACGGUACCUGAUCAGAAAGCCACGGCUAACUACGUGCCAGCAGCCGCGGUAAUACGUAGGUGGCAAGCGUUAUCCGGAAUUAUUGGGCGUAAAGCGCGCGUAGGCGGUUUUUUAAGUCUGAUGUGAAAGCCCACGGCUCAACCGUGGAGGGUCAUUGGAAACUGGAAAACUUGAGUGCAGAAGAGGAAAGUGGAAUUCCAUGUGUAGCGGUGA
rnacentral:rRNA from 16 species